CGAUAACUAAACAAUUCUGUGUUUCUAAUCUGCUCUGUAACAACACGCCAUGCCACAAGAGGAACUCUAAUGGUUGCGCUAAAGCCCCCAGACCAUUGUCUGCGUGCAGCAGUGACAAUGCAACACCUUUAUCUUCCAAGAGACGGUGUGAACCCAGUGAUGAACACAGACAAGACGAAACGCCCUCUAAACGUAAAUUUAAAAGCCC